ensembl:lncRNA
AAUCCAUGUUUAGUUGUCACGUGCACCGAAUACAACAGGUGUAGUAGACCUUACAGUGAAAUGCUGAAUACAACAGGUGUAGUAGACCUUACAGUGAAAUGCUGAAUACAACAGGUGUAGGUAGACCUUACAGUGAAAUGCUGAAUACAACAGGUGUAGUAGACCUUACAGUGAAAUGCUGAAUACAACAGGUGUAGUAGACCUUACAGUGAAAUGCUGAAUACAACAGGUGUAGGUAGACCUUACAGUGAAAUGCUGAAUACAACAGGUGUAGUAGACCUUACAGUGAAAUGCUGAAUACAACAGGUGUAGGUAGACCUUACAGUGAAAUGCUGAAUACAGUAGGUGUAGUAGACCUUACAGUGAAAUGCUGAAUACAACAGGUGUAGUAGACCUUACAGUGAAAUGCUGAAUACAACAGGUGUAGUAGACCUUACAGUGAAAUGCUGAAUAAAACAGGCAUAGAUAGACCUUACAGUGAAAUGCUGAAUAAAACAGGUGUAGGUAGACCUUACAGUGAACUGCUGAAUAAAACAGGUGUAGGUAGACCUUACAGUGAAAUGCUUACUUACAGGCUCUAAC